rnacentral:rRNA from 1 species
AAACGUAGGAGACAAACGUUUAUCCGGAGUUACUGGGCGUAAAGGGCGUGUAGGCGGUUGGUUAAGUCUGGCGUGAAAGCUCUCGGCUAAACCGGGAGAGGUCGUUGGAUACUGGCCGACUAGAGGACGGUAGAGGCGUGUGGAAUUCCGGGUGUAGUGGUGAAAUGCGUAGAUAUCGGGAGGAACACCAGUGGCGAAGGCGGCUUUCUGGUCUGCUCUUGACGCUGAGGCGCGAAAGCUAGGGUAGCAAACGGG